rnacentral:lncRNA from 1 species
AGCGUUGUAUUUCGGUGAAAGUCUGGGGUGAGUGCAGGUUCGAGGUCCAGCGGACAGGCAGGGUAGCCUUCCCCAGGGCACCCUUUUCUGGGCAGCACAGGCUCGGUUCCCCAGCGAUGCUCGCGCCCGCAUCGAGGCAGAAGGAUCAUCAGAUGCGCUAGGAAUUCUGCUUCGCUCUCAGUCGCCGGAUUAGUUCGGGUCUCAAGGGCUCGAACCAAAGUGACACUACGCUCCCCCCGACCCCUUUCGUUCUCCCAUGCGACAGGUCCCGCUGCAUGGAAGCCACAUUUCCCAGACCCAGUCCAGCGACCGUGGCGCCCUCGCGGCGCCUCCCGAGCCCUUCCCCUGGGGAAGGGACCGGUGGCAGCAUCCCUCCGGGGCGGGAAACAAAGGCGGAGGCGAGGCGGCCAGGUGGGCAAGCCUCUUCGGGCACAGCCACGGCGGCCGC